CUCCUCCCAGGGUCUCAUCUGGAGAGUUUCCAUUUCUCUACCAUUCGGCUACAGGAGGGAGAGUCAAGCAGAGGCCUACCCUUUCCAUUCCUAGAUUGGCCAGUGGCUAGCGAGUGGAAGGCACUCUGCUAAAAGU